rnacentral:rRNA from 1 species
GUCGGCAACGACCACCCAGAGCCGGAAAGUUGGUCAAACUCGGUCAUUUAGAGGAAGUAAAAGUCGUAACAAGGUCUCCGUAGGUGAACCUGCGGAGGGAUCAUUA